rnacentral:rRNA from 1 species
UACGUAGGUGGCAAGCGUUUGUCCGGAAUUAUUGGGCGUAAAGCGCGCGCAGGCGGUCCUUUAAGUCUGAUGUGAAAGCCCACGGCUCAACCGUGGAGGGUCAUUGGAAACUGGGGGACUUGAGUGCAGAAGAGGAGAGUGGAAUUCCACGUGUAGCGGUGAAAUGCGUAGAGAUGUGGAGGAACACCAGUGGCGAAGGCGACUCUCUGGUCUGUAACUGACGCUGAGGCGCGAAAGCGUGGGGAGCAAACAGG